UCCACACGUCCCGAUCCGCAAACGUCUGACCAUCAAGGGUGCAGCUGGCACCUGUGCCUGGCGAGGGCGACAGAAAGAGAAAAAACAGAGAUCUCAGCAGCCAUCCAGCCAUGAAGACAAAAUCCAUCCUUUUUUUUUUUUUUUUU